rnacentral:misc_RNA from 1 species
UCUCCGUAGGUGAACCUGCGGAGGGAUCAUUACAGAGUUUUUGCCCGCAAGGGUAGAUCUCCCACCCUAUGUUAUUCCUUCUCUGUUGCUUUGGCGGGCCGUCCGGCCUCGGUCAGGCCACCGGCUCCGGCUGGUGCGCGCCCGCCAGAGGACCCCAAACCCUAAAUGUUAGUGUCGUCUGAGUACUAUAUAAUAGUUAAAACUUUCAACAACGGAUCUCUUGGUUCUG